UACAGAGGGGGCAAGCGUUGUUCGGAAUUACUGGGCGUAAAGGGCGCGUAGCGGCCGCCUAAGUCAGACGUGAAAUCCCUCGGCUCAACCGGGGAACUGCGUCUGAUACUGGGUGGGCUUGAAUCCGGGAGAGGGAUGCGGGAAUUCCGUGGUGUAGCGGUGAAAUGCGUAGGAUAAUCGGAAGGAACAUCAGUGGCGAAAAGCGGACUUCCUGGUCCCAGGCUAUACGGCACCACGGUUCCGAGGC
rnacentral:rRNA from 1 species